rnacentral:rRNA from 1 species
UACGUAGGGGGCUAGCGUUGCUCGGAAUCACUGGGCGUAAAGCGCACGUAGGCGGACUCUUAAGUCGGUGGUGAAAUCCUGGAGCUCAACUCCAGAACUGCCUUCGAUACUGAGAGUCUCGAGUCCGGGAGAGGUGAGUGGAACUGCGGAGUGUAGAGGUGAAAUUCGUAGAUAUUCGCAAGAACACCAGUGGCGAAGGCGGCUCACUGGCCCGGUACUGACGCUGAGGUGCGAAAGCGUGGGGAGCAAACAGG